rnacentral:ncRNA from 2 species
AUCUUAUUAAGAGUGGUGGAGGGACCGGCCCUAUGAAGCCCAGCAACCUGAAAAAAUCUUCAUUUAAAUUUUUUCGUUGGUGCUAAUUCCUGCAGGAGAAAUCCUGAGAAAUGAGAG